rnacentral:rRNA from 1 species
ACUUUACAUGCACGCAAGUGUGAUAAGGGAAUCCCAAGUGCUCAUGCUACGCAUGGGCUUUUGCCAAGAGUAAAUAUCUUGGCGAAUAAGUGAUGGGUAAGACUGGUGCCAGCAGCCGCGGUAACACCAGCGUCACGAGUGGCAACCAUAUUUAUUGGGUCUAAAGCGUCCGUAGCCUGUUUGAUAAGUCUUUUGUGAAAUCGUUGAGCUUAACUUAACGGUGUGCAAAAGAUACUGUUAGGCUUGGAACUGGGAAGAGUCAGAGGUAUUCUGGGGGGAGCGGUAAAAUGCUAUAAUCCCCGGAGGACCACCAGUGGCGAAAGCGUCUGACUAGAACAGCUUCGACGGUGAGGGACGAAAGCCAGGGGAGCAAAACGGAUUAGAUACCCGAGUAGUCCUGGCCAUAAACGCUGUGAGCAAGGUGUCACGUAUCCUUCGUGGAUGCGUGGUGUCGAAAUGAAGAUGUUAAGCUCGCCGCCUGGGAAGUAUGGUCGCAAGGCUGAAACUUAAAGGAAUUGGCGGGGGAGCACAAGCCGAAUUC